rnacentral:rRNA from 1 species
UACGAAGUGGGCUAGCGUUGUUCGGAUUUACUGGGCGUAAAGCGCACGUAGGCGGUUUGUUAAGUCAGGGGUGAAAUCCCACAGCUCAACUGUGGAACUGCCUUUGAUACUGGCAAGCUAGAGUCCGGAAGAGGUAAGUGGAACUCCUAGUGUAGAGGUGGAAUUCGUAGAUAUUAGGAAGAACACCAGUGGCGAAGGCGGCUUACUGGUCCGGAACUGACGCUGAGGUGCGAAAGCGUGGGGAGCAAACAGG